rnacentral:rRNA from 1 species
AGCGUACACGGUGGAUGCCCUGGCAGUCAGAGGCGAUGAAGGACGUGCUAAUCUGCGAUAAGCGUCGGUAAGGUGAUAUGAACCGUUAUAACCGGCGAUUUCCGAAUGGGGAAACCCAGUGUGUUUCGACACACUAUCAUUAACUGAAUCCAUAGGUUAAUGAGGCGAACCGGGGGAACUGAAACAUCUAAGUACCCCGAGGAAAAGAAAUCAACCGAGAUUCCCCCAGUAGCGGCGAGCGAACGGGGAGCAGCCCAGAGCCUGAAUCAGUGUGUGUGUUAGUGGAAGCGUCUGGAAAGGCGCGCGAUACAGGGUGACAGCCCCGUACACAAAAAUGCACAUGCUGUGAGCUCGAUGAGUAGGGCGGGACACGUGGUAUCCUGUCUGAAUAUGGGGGGACCAUCCUCCAAGGCUAAAUACUCCUGACUGACCGAUAGUGAACCAGUACCGUGAGGGAAAGGCGAAAAGAACCCCGGCGAGGGGAGUGAAAAAGAACCUGAAACCGUGUACGUACAAGCAGUGGGAGCACGCUUAGGCGUGUGACUGCGUACCUUUUGUAUAAUGGGUCAGCGACUUAUAUUCUGUAGCAAGGUUAACCGAAUAGGGGAGCCGAAGGGAAACCGAGUCUUAACUGGGCGUUAAGUUGCAGGGUAUAGACCCGAAACCCGGUGAUCUAGCCAUGGGCAGGUUGAAGGUUGGGUAACACUAACUGGAGGACCGAACCGACUAAUGUUGAAAAAUUAGCGGAUGACUUGUGGCUGGGGGUGAAAGGCCAAUCAAACCGGGAGAUAGCUGGUUCUCCCCGAAAGCUAUUUAGGUAGCGCCUCGUGAAUUCAUCUCCGGGGGUAGAGCACUGUUUCGGCAAGGGGGUCAUCCCGACUUACCAACCCGAUGCAAACUGCGAAUACCGGAGAAUGUUAUCACGGGAGACACACGGCGGGUGCUAACGUCCGUCGUGAAGAGGGAAACAACCCAGACCGCCAGCUAAGGUCCCAAAGUCAUGGUUAAGUGGGAAACGAUGUGGGAAGGCCCAGACAGCCAGGAUGUUGGCUUAGAAGCAGCCAUCAUUUAAAGAAAGCGUAAUAGCUCACUGGUCGAGUCGGCCUGCGCGGAAGAUGUAACGGGGCUAAACCAUGCACCGAAGCUGCGGCAGCGACGCUUAUGCGUUGUUGGGUAGGGGAGCGUUCUGUAAGCCUGUGAAGGUGUGCUGUGAGGCAUGCUGGAGGUAUCAGAAGUGCGAAUGCUGACAUAAGUAACGAUAAAGCGGGUGAAAAGCCCGCUCGCCGGAAGACCAAGGGUUCCUGUCCAACGUUAAUCGGGGCAGGGUGAGUCGACCCCUAAGGCGAGGCCGAAAGGCGUAGUCGAUGGGAAACAGGUUAAUAUUCCUGUACUUGGUGUUACUGCGAAGGGGGGACGGAGAAGGCUAUGUUGGCCGGGCGACGGUUGUCCCGGUUUAAGCGUGUAGGCUGGUUUUCCAGGCAAAUCCGGAAAAUCAAGGCUGAGGCGUGAUGACGAGGCACUACGGUGCUGAAGCAACAAAUGCCCUGCUUCCAGGAAAAGCCUCUAAGCAUCAGGUAACAUCAAAUCGUACCCCAAACCGACACAGGUGGUCAGGUAGAGAAUACCAAGGCGCUUGAGAGAACUCGGGUGAAGGAACUAGGCAAAAUGGUGCCGUAACUUCGGGAGAAGGCACGCUGAUAUGUAGGUGAAGUCCCUUGCGGAUGGAGCUGAAAUCAGUCGAAGAUACCAGCUGGCUGCAACUGUUUAUUAAAAACACAGCACUGUGCAAACACGAAAGUGGACGUAUACGGUGUGACGCCUGCCCGGUGCCGGAAGGUUAAUUGAUGGGGUUAGCCGCAAGGCGAAGCUCUUGAUCGAAGCCCCGGUAAACGGCGGCCGUAACUAUAACGGUCCUAAGGUAGCGAAAUUCCUUGUCGGGUAAGUUCCGACCUGCACGAAUGGCGUAAUGAUGGCCAGGCUGUCUCCACCCGAGACUCAGUGAAAUUGAACUCGCUGUGAAGAUGCAGUGUACCCGCGGCAAGACGGAAAGACCCCGUGAACCUUUACUAUAGCUUGACACUGAACAUUGAGCCUUGAUGUGUAGGAUAGGUGGGAGGCUUUGAAGUGUGGACGCCAGUCUGCAUGGAGCCGACCUUGAAAUACCACCCUUUAAUGUUUGAUGUUCUAACGUUGACCCGUAAUCCGGGUUGCGGACAGUGUCUGGUGGGUAGUUUGACUGGGGCGGUCUCCUCCUAAAGAGUAACGGAGGAGCACGAAGGUUGGCUAAUCCUGGUCGGACAUCAGGAGGUUAGUGCAAUGGCAUAAGCCAGCUUGACUGCGAGCGUGACGGCGCGAGCAGGUGCGAAAGCAGGUCAUAGUGAUCCGGUGGUUCUGAAUGGAAGGGCCAUCGCUCAACGGAUAAAAGGUACUCCGGGGAUAACAGGCUGAUACCGCCCA